CCCUUAGACACUCUAGGCGGCACGCGCGCUACAAUGGGUGGAAGAACGUGUUACUGCCUCCGAAAGGAGGGGUGAAUCACGAAUUCUUGCCCGUGAAUGGGAUAGUUUGUUGCAAUUUUCGGACUUGAACUAGGAAUCCCUUGUAAACAUGCUCAAGAAUAGCGUGUUGAAUACGUCCUUGCCGUUUGUACACACCGCCCGUCGUUUCUUCCGACUGAUACUCAUUGUGAGUUGCAAGGACCCUUUAUUGGGAAAUUGCUGCAAAUGCUUUGUAUUGGAGGAAGAAAAAGUCGUAACA
rnacentral:rRNA from 1 species